rnacentral:rRNA from 1 species
AACGCGAAGAACCUUACCUGGGCUCGAAAUGUAGUGGAUCGAGGUAGAAAUAUCUCUUUCUCGCAAGAGACUGCUAUAUAGGUGCUGCAUGGCUGUCGUCAGCUCGUGUCGUGAGAUGUUGGGUUAAGUCCCGCAACGAGCGCAACCCUUAUCUUUAGUUGCCAUCAGGUCAAGCUGGGCACUCUAACGAAACCGCCCCGGAUAACGGGGAGGAAGGUGGGGAUGACGUCAAGUCCUCAUGGCCUUUAUGUCCAGGGCUACACACGUGCUACAAUGGUCGGUACAAACCGUCGCAAACCUGCGAAGGGGAGCUAAUCGGAAAAAGCCGGCCUCAGUUCGGAUUGGAGUCUGCAACUCGACUCCAUGAAGCUGGAAUCGCUAGUAAUCGCAGAUCAGAACGCUGCGGUGAAUACGUUCCCGGGCCUUGUACACACCGUAGAGAC